AACGAACGCUGGCGGCAUGCCUAACACAUGCGAGUCGAACGAGACCUUCGGGUCUAGUGGCGCACGGGUGCGUAACGCGUGGGAACCUGCCCUUAGGUUCGGAAUAACUCCCCGAAAGGGGUGCUAAUACCGGAUAAUGUCUUCGGACCAAAGAUUUAUCGCCUUUGGAUGGGCCCGCGUUGGAUUAGCUAGUUGGUAGGGUAAAAGCCUACCAAGGCGACGAUCCAUAGCUGGUCUGAGAGGAUGAUCAGCCACACUGGGACUGAGACACGGCCCAGACUCCUACGGGAGGCAGCAGUGGGGAAUAUUGGACAAUGGGCGAAAGCCUGAUCAAGCAAUGCCGCGUGAGUGAUGAAGGCCUUAGGGUUGUAAAGCUCUUUUACCCGGGAUGAUAAUGACAGUACCGGGAGAAUAAGCUCCGGCUAACUCCGUG
rnacentral:rRNA from 1 species